ensembl:lncRNA
CGCCCCUGCUGCUGCUGCUCCCCUGCGCACCCGCCCCCACUGCCAGUCUCAUCCAGGCCGCCAAACCCCAGGACGGCCUGCAGAGCCUACUCCCAGGUUGCAAUCGCCUCUUGUUGGGGUUUGGGGAGAGGAGGAGGAGAGAGAGGAGGGGCGGGGGCAGACAGCAAGAGAGGAAGUCAGAGAGACAGACAGGGAUAUAGGGAGGGGCCCGAGGAACCCAGACAGAGGUACAGCAGGACAGACGAGGGGCAGGAAUAAGGAGAUGGUGGAUGGAAUAGGGACAGGGCAGAGGGAUAGGGACCCAGAUAAGAACAGGGGACAAGAUUGGGGGGUGGACUGGCUCGGUCCUGAGGGUCAGAGCAUCGUGGAAGAGGGUGGAGAGGAAAGGGGGUGGGAGGGACAUGGGGCCCGGCCCGAAGAGGCAUCCAACACUCAGACCACUUUCUGCGAGCCCUCGUGGCACCUGCUGUGGGACAGGGACAGCUGCCUCUCUGCCCCGUGGACCUCAGUGCCUCCCCAGGACUGCCACUGCGCAGAGGACCAGGAGUGCUGGCUGGAGAACAGCACCCCUUCUAGCCAGCACCAGGAAGCCCGUCGCGGAGCCCAACUUGUUCCUCUUCACCAGGUGCCCAAGCUGGAGGAGACGCAGAGCUGGUGGCACUGGCAAAUCCGGCCUCUCACUCUGGCGGUCCUCCCAGGUCGUGAGGUGACUGCCCUGGCGGUGCAGCCAGCAGCCUGGGAGGCAGGCCUGCAGCUCCUUCAGAAGCAUCCAUGGCCACCAGCCUUCUGCGACAGUCUCCUUAAGGGGGCCCUCCUGGCACGGGGACCUGAGGCCUCCCCCGCCCCAAAGGGCCCGCCCCAAGACCCACUUGUUGUCCCUUUCCAGGCUCAGCAGCCGCAGGGGCUGGGGGUGGACAUCAGAGCCCUGGCAGGGGACAGACGUGCACCCUCCCCAGACCCCACCCCAGCGCCACUGAGAAAUCAAGUUCUUUCUCUCAGCCAUCUGUGCUGCUUCCUCUCGGGACCUGUCCCCAGCACCCGGCCGACUGAAACGAUUUCUUUGCUUUUACAAGCUCCUGAGGCAGGAACCGGUCCUGCUUCCUGCUGUGUUGCCUGAUGCUUACCAGAGAGCGUGGCUCACGCUUAGUUCUCAAAAACAGCUCGUUGUCGAGAAUUGAGUUGAGUUGAGUCCACGGCUGACUGGAGGGACGCCCUCUCUGACGCCCCAGCGCCAGGCUUCCGCGUCAGUAUUUCCUAAAACGGUGAUCACGUGAGACUGUUUAAAGAUGCUACAGUCCUGUCAUCCUAAUGCUGAAAAUUGAAGAUAGCACACACAUGGAUGGUCCAUCAGGAAUGGAGAAAAGUGAGACAUCAUUACAGAGCCUAUAAGAAGCUGUUCCAAACAUUCUAUACCAAUACAUUUGAAAAUCGGGAUAAAAUGGGCAACUUUCUAGAAAACACUCACUGAAACCGAGACAAGAAAUUGAAUCUGUAGUUUAAAAUCUUCCCACCAACAAAUCUACAGGCUCAGAUGACCUCAUUAGUAAAUCUAGGAAAAUAUUAACGGCAAUCUUACAUAAACUCCAGAGAAUGGAAAACUUGUGUUAGGAAACCAGAAUAGGCUUGUUGCAAAACCCAAAAAGUAAAUUUUGAGACAGGAAAAGUUUCGGUCCAGUAUCUUUCAUAAACGUAGGUGCCAAGAUCUUAAGAUGUUAGCAAAAUGAAUCACCACGAGAAGGCAGGGAAUUGUGGGAAUGAUGACUGACUUAGGUAGAAACGCUCAGCCAUAGGUUGCCGGCCACACAGCUUUUCUGGUGAGCCACACAAUAGGAUCCUGUAACUGAAGACAGAAAUAAGAUUUCACGUGUGUGGAACUUCAGUGCUGGACUAGUUUUCUUCAGGGGAAAAUGAGACUCAGAUGAAAUGUUAAUUUUGCAGAGAGUAAGGAAGAAACCUAUCCUGGACAGAUGUUCCUUUCUUCUAGUCUGGUUUUGAUCUGCUGCAAGACUCUGAUUUGCUGACAAAGGCAUCUCAAAAGGUUCAUUCACGGUGGAGCCACCACUCCUGAGGACCUCACCCAGAAUGGAGCUCGCCUGGGGGAAAAAUCCACAAGCCACCCCUACAGAGGCCAGAGCACGGGGGCCUGUGUCCAGAGGGAGAAGCAGGUCGCUAGUGUCAGAUGCUAAUGGAUGACUGACUUACAAUCCUUUCUGCCCAGAUGACGGGUUCUAGCCUUUAUGGUUGCAAAGAAACCUGCGUAGGCUCUUACUGCCGUGUGUGCAUGCUCAAGAGGAAGGGGGAGCAGGUUUGGGGUUCACUCAGGAGGAGGGAAACUGCUUUCCGUAAGGACGAGUGUGGUCCCCGAAGGUGGUAAAGCCAGCAGGGCACUGGGGCAGUGGUGUGACGGUGAGCACCAACAACCGGCUCUCUGAGUGAACACAAAGCCCUCAAUGAUAGCAUUUGCCAGUUUCUAUGGUGUCAAUAAGCCUGCUCUGGUCCAUCUAAAGCUACCAAUGUGAUGUGAACCGGCUCACAAAAUCCUUGAAAAGUCAAGAACUGGCUCUCAGGAGCCAGUAGGAGCCACACCUCCAGCCCUCCAUCUUCACAGACGGUGCCGUCUUCUGCUUCUCAUCUCCUCAGACCGUUUGGAACCGACAUCAUCCAGGCCUUCCUGCAAAGACCUGGGGCAGGCGGGAAAGGACGCUGCAGCCACGGCCAGUGGGUGGAAGGGCUGUUCUGGUGAGAAAAAGCUGACAGGCCUGACGUCUGAAGUUCUGCAGAAGGCAGAUAAAGGACAGAAUCAUAAUUUCACAAUCAUCUGCCUUGAGUCUUAGAAGGCACACUUUAGAGCAGUAAUCGCGAGAGAUCCUGAUGCAGGUCAUUGUGGGUCAAGGCUUCUGUGGAAGGAAAUUGGCGCAGCUGGUCUGGUCUCCUGAAGCUUCUCAUAGAUUUCAGAAAAGGGUCCCCGGGGGUCUGGUCUCCCCUUGAGCAAGUCACUUGGAAUGGAGGGGACUCAUCGCUCUUCAGACCCACUGGAAGGCGGGGGGUUCCCUCUUCCCCAUACUCCUUCGAGGCCACCCUCUGUGGGGCUGAGGUCACCGUAACAGAACAGAGCUCUUCAGAUCUCUUCCACUCCUCAGAAAAGACCACUCCCCGUGGCCCUGACCCCACUGGUGCACACAGUCAAUGCCUUUUAGGUCACUGGCAUGCAGCUCUUCAACGGAGUUGUGGCAACAUCUCUCUGUGGUUUUUUUCACUAAAGUGUUACUGUUUGCUAUACAUCAGUUUCCGUUGACCAUAUUUGGGAUGCAUGAUGCCCAGUUACCUGAAAAUGAGGUGCCAGGGAUCCGAUUAUUUACAAAAGUGGCCUUCCCCACUGGGAAAUAAAUUGGGAUCUGGAAAAAUCUUAGGCCGUGGGCAACACUUGUCUCCCACACCUCACGUUUCCCGGAAAGGGAUUUUGAUAACUUCCAGGAAGUAUGGACUGCCUUCCCACGCCCUCCGCCCUUUGCUCACCUGGCCACACAGUGCUGCUGAGCUCACAGAAGGCACUGAGUACUCCAGGCAGACCCCACCCAGUCUCCCCGAGGGGCAGCCGGUCCUCAGGUCCUUCUCCCUUCCCUCACAGAAGACCCCUGGCUGGCAGGCACACGUGGGCAGCCCAUGUGGUCCCAGCUCCAGGUGGUGCCUCCCAUUCAGUAUUCGUCGUAAUGAAGCUGGUAUUGUCACUUCCACAUGUCUGACUCCUGUGUGUGUGUCUCUGGAUCGCAAACUCAGCACGGGAAGAGAAAGGUGUUGACUGCCUUCCACGGGCCCCCAGAUGUGCGUUGUUAUGGACACUGGCUGCAUACGUGAGUGUCUGCGUCAGCUUCAACAUCUUUGCUCUGCUCCAUCCUCCG